rnacentral:rRNA from 1 species
ACCGAGUGAGGGCCCCCCGGCCCGACCUCCAACCCUUUGUCGAUUUCUAACUGUUGCCUCGGGGGGCGACCCGGACGUCAGCGCCCGGACGUCCCCCAGAGGACCCAUCAACUCUGCAUCUUUGCGUCGGAGUAUUGAAUACCAAUCAAUCAAAACUUUUAACAACGGAUCUCUUGGUUCUGGCAUCGAUGAAGAACGCAGCGAAAUGCGAUAAGUAAUGUGAAUUGCAGAAUUCAGUGAAUCAUCGAAUCUUUGAACGCACAUUGCGCCCUUUGGCAUUCCGAAGGGCAUGCCCGUUCGAGCGUCAUUACACCAAUCAAGCCUGGCUUGGUAUUGGGCGUCGGGGACCCUCCCCCGCGCCCCCAAUUCGUCGGCUGGACGGUUCGAAUCUCAGCGUUGUGGUCAAUCAAUUCGCUGGCGACGACGACCGGACGCGCCGUUAAACCUCACUACAGGUUGACCUCGGAUCGGGUAGGGAUACCCGCUGAACUUAAGCAUAUCAAUAAGCG